UUGCCAAGUCAUGAGGGACCUUGUCGAAGGCCUUACUGAAAUCCAGAUAGGCUACAUCCACAAUGUUCCCCGCAUCUAUCCAGCUUGUAACCAAUGGCAUAUACAGUGGGGCCUCGGUUCCAGCGUCUCCCAUGAAUACCAGCCUCUAAGGACAGGUACGAUAGUGACCUCAAGCCCAGAGAGUAAUCAUUUCAUUCAUCAUCUUCCUUCCGACGUUUCUGAAGAUCCAGAUAUGGUCGCCUCCAAGCGGAACCGGAAGUAAACUGCGGUAGAAUUCUUAUUCUUAGCCACUCCCUUUUCUACUCUAUUCCUCCAACCUGAGCUCCGCUCAGACCCAAAGGACUUGAUGGUUGCUUUCAAAGGCUAAAGAUCUCCGGGAAUGAGUGCCACAGACAAAAAGCGCCACUCAGGAACAAUGGUAUUUCCGGUUCUCAGAUGACAUUGCCACCCUGCUAAAUGCCCAACAGGAACAAAUUAAAGGCGCCGGGAAAAAAAUGCCCAAAGAGGCAACGCUCUCCCAUUCUGUCGCUAGACUUCAGGUUUCCAUGCGAAGACAAAAGAGAGCUAGAUUCAUUCAUCUGUCGGCUACUCACGUUUCCUCCUGAAAACCAUCAAAUAAGCAGGGUGUGAUGUAGUUCUUCCUUAAAUCAAAAAUAAAGUUAUUUUUAAUUGCUA